UUUUGCAACAGAGACACUAAGAUAUCAGGCAGUCUACCUUCGAGUUCAGUUAUAGUUGAGGAGUUGCUGUGUCACCACAAUGAUAAAUAAGGUUGUUGUU